rnacentral:lncRNA from 1 species
GCAAAGACUGUUUUUAAGGAUAGAGAGAACAACUCUGGAAAAGGCUGCCAACAUCUGAAGGAAGCGGAGAGUUCUAGAAGCUGCAUAGAAGAGAGCACGAUGAUUGGUGCAGAAGCAAAUGCAGAAAUCCAUCUACUUCCCAGGCAGGAAGAAAUCAGAGAUGCCAGGGGCUGUAAAACAGGCCAUUGUCUUUCUGUAUUUUCUCUGUUUUUGUGAAAGGUCAGGAAGAUUAUGGAAAUGAAGACAUCAUUGAAGGGAAAUAAUGAUUACAACAAUAUCAAAAUGUACUGGAAAACAAGAAAAAAUAGUAUGGUUUGAUAAUAAAGAUCGAGAAAUAAAAAUAUCUCCUGGGAAAUAUAGCCUUGCAUACCUGAAAGUGGUGUUUAAGUAUAGACACCUUCACCAAUAUGCAGCGACACUAAUAAAUGUUCAAUACGCGU